GAUUAUGGUUUUACUAGAACAACGAUUACGAACAGGUUUAACAUCGACAUACUAUCAAGCAAAGGGGUUGAUGCAGUCUAGAAUCCAUURGGAAAGACACCAAGAACACAUUGUAGUGAAUUUUUUAUUUUGGUUAUGAACAUAUAACUGUAUCAUUGGUAGUGUACUUAGGUUAUUUAAGUGAAGUUUUAAUGUUAUCCAAUAUACUUGUAUAAGUCAAAUUAUGAUUUCGUUUUUGGACCUUUCAGGGAUAUUAGAAUAUGGGGCACUUGUUACACGUGAGUGAAAUGGAAAAGAAGAUUGAAACUUURGCAAGAAUCACUUGGAUGUUAUUAAAAAAAAAUAAGAUAAUGGAUCUGAGGAUGGCAAUCAUACACAAAUGACGUAUGUGGAAGAUAGGAAAGUGGAUGUCAAUGCCUAUAUGCAUGCCCAUGGCUAUUUGGUUUCAAUAUUAAUGUUUGUAGGUAGGUUGGUUGUUUAUGGCAUAAACUUCAUAUAGAAAGAAUGAUUCAAAUGGCUUCAGGUUUGAUUUGUGGUAAAGAAUCUUAAAUUAUUGUUUGUUUGUUUGUCUAUAAUGAAACAAGCAUUCCUAUCUCUUCAAAA